UAUUACAAAUCAAGGUAGUCAUUGGUGUGAGGAGAGUGUGGAUCCUAAUUCUUACUCAACCUGACUUCUUUUUUUCACUUUCUGUCCGUUUACUGACUUUAUAAAGUGUGAAGGGUUAGCCAGGUUGCCAAACGAAAACAGUUACUGCUUACGUAUGAAGUUGUGUGUUAUAAAGAUUAUCUCAUUUUGAUCUUCAUGAGGACUCUAUGAGAUAGGUACUCUUAUGACUGUUCCAUUUUGCAACUUAGAAAACUCCUUAAGAUUACUUAAAAAGUUAUAUACUAUUGGAGAAGCUACGGGUUGGACUCCAGUAAUCUAAUCCACAACUCAUUCACAUCCCCGAAGUUAUAUGGCCUUCCUGAACUUCAUUCCUCCUUAACAAUGGAAAGUAUGAAGUGCCCUCCUGUCUGUGUAUUUUGUCUAUUAGCCUACCUCUGUAUCUAUUCUAUAAAAAUAGUAAAGCAGACACAAAUCUUUCUCACUCCAUUUUCCCUGGGCUUCGCUGAAUGGAUUAAGAAACUCUCACACGGGCUGGAGAGAUGGCUCAGCAGUUAAGAGCACUGACUGCUCUUCCAGAGGUUCUGAGUUCAAUUCCAGCAACCACAUGGUGGUUCACAACCUUCUGUAAUGAGAUCUGGCGCCCUCCGCUGGCAAGCAGGUGUAAAUGCAGAUAGAGAGCUCAAAAAUAUACCUUUAUUUUAAAAAGUAGUCUACUGUCUACACUCCACAGUAGACUCUCAACAGGCAACCAAAAGGAAAAUCUACAGCCGAAAAAGAUUUAGGUCACCCCUAAGCAAUUUUAUAAUCUGCAAGUUUCCCCUUAACUGCUACUGUGAAGGAUUAUUGUCUCCACUUCCCUAGAGCCCUUUUAAAAGAGGAGAAGCAAAUGCACCCAUUUUAGGUCUCCAGAAACAAUGCUUUACAAAAUACACCUUUUGAUUUCCUACUUAAACUUGGCGUUUCUCUUUAAAGCAAGAACACUAAUUCCUCACCAACAAAAUCGCAAGCCUUAUAACUGUAGUCAGAAGAUAGUUGACCAUAAUAUAUUAUGGUUCAAAUAACAUCUUCAGAGCCCAAGACAAACCAAGAGAAUCUGUGGUCUCACGUUUUAAUAAGGGAGAUGGACAAUUACCACUUAAGUAUGGUAUACUAGGGAAACAGAUCUACUAUGAAGAAAAUGAAAACUAUAUUUGGGGGAAGGCCAAUGAGGUAGGCAAAAUAAUUACUCCCUUCCAAUUCCUUGAACUUGUCAAUAUGUUACAUAGCAAAGAGAAGUUAAUGAUAUAUAUAUAUUAAGGCUACUGAUCAGCUGUUCUUAAAUAAGAAUUUUUUAGGUGAUUCAUUUAGCACAACAUACAAAGGGCCUUUUAAAUUUCUAUGAAGGAAGGCAGGACAAUCAGUAUCAAGAGUGACUGAGAAAGGCUGAAGUCACUGUUGUGGGGUUUAAAAAUGGAAGUGGGUAACCACAAGCCAAGAAAUGUGUGUAGCCAUUUAGGAAAUGAUGGUUUUCUCCAACUGGCUUAAGAAGGAAAUACCCCCCCCCCACCCCCGUUGACCUGGAGUUUAAACCUGUGAAACACAUCAUUCUUCUGACCUCCAGAACUAUAAUAAAUUUCUGUUAUUUCAAGCCACCAAAUUCCUGAUAAUCUGUUAAAGCAACAAAUGAAAAUGUAUUUGGAGUUAUCAAGAGAAAAAGAAGUAGGGUGUGUGUGUGUGUGUGUGUGUGUGUGUGUGUGUGUGUGUGUGUGUGUGUACAUAAAUAAAAGGGGUUGGCUUAUAACUCCAUAACUAUAUGGAUAUUUGAGGCGUUCGAGUGGUCUGUAGUUGGCAAACAGGAGACACACAGAACAGCCAGUCAUAUCUCAGUCUGAGUUCACGUGUCACCAGGACCUUGGUCUGGACUCUGUCUUCUGGCCCUUGGGAUUCCCCAUUAAAAGUAUUCUGAUGAGACACACAGACUACAGCGCCAAAGAUAGACACAGUUGUUUUAGAGUAUACAGUUAUGGGAUGAGGACCAAUAAUGGCCAGAGAGACCAGAGCCUUGAUAUGAACUUUAGGCUGAAUAUUAUUUCUAAAAGAUCUCUAGAAUAAGUAGCAGCAUUUCCUGUGGGACAUUAUCCUGUGCAGGUGACUGAUAGGCCUCUUGGGAUUAUGGCUUAGUUACUUUUCCAUUGCUUUGAUAAAACAGCAUGCCCUGGGGGCUGGAGAGAUGGCUCAGUGGUUAAGAGCACUGACUGCUCUUCCAGAGGUCCUGAGUUCAAAUCCCAGCAACCACAUGGUGACUCACGACCAUCUGUAAUGGGAUCUGAUGCCCUCUUCUGGUGUGUCUGAAGAUAACUACAGUGUACUUAUAUAAAUAAAAAUAAUAAAUCUUAGAAGAAAAAAACAGCAUGCCCAAGGCAACUUCUAGCACAAAGCAUUUGCUUGACCUUUUGGGUUCAGAAGGUUAAGGCUAUCAUGGUAGGCAGCAUGUAGCAUGGGCAGGCAAGCAGCAGACAUACUGGCUUAAGUAACACCUGAGAGCUCACUUGUCUACCAGAUCCCAGGAAACAGAGGUUAUGGGAGUGAGGGUGCAUGGGCAGAGUCAUUUGAAGCCUCGGAGUGUCUUCUAUUAUUUCCCAAACAAUUCUAUCAUCUGGAGACCAAGUAUUCAAACAUAUGAGCCUUUAAGGGCCAUCCUUGUUCAAACCCCAACAGGUUGUCUUACAAGAGAGGAAAUGAUAUAUCCUUUAUCAGUUAUCUCAUAAGGUUUAGAGGUCCUGGCACCAGGUAUAAAUAGUUACCUAUUUAACCUUUCAUGCCGUUAAGGAUGUCAUGUUUCCUCCCAGGGCCUGAGAUAUGACUCAGGUCCAAUUUUUCUAACAGCUUUUAAAAUUCAAUUUUUCUGGAUGUUUUCCAAGCAGUUGACUAUGAAGAAAGUGUCAACCUAAACGUACACCAAGCCUCUAAUAGCUAACUGGGUGUCUAAUACAGAAGCUAGAGAAACAACAGAACUAAAGGUGAAUUCCAGUCCGGAUGCUAGUCCAAAAAAGCCAGUGUUAGUUAAAAUAAGAAGAAAAAAUGACUAUCCCCACUUACAUCAAUCAGACUGUUACUGCCAGAAGGAUCAUCUUCAUUGGAUGAGGAUAACCCACAGCAGAAAGCCAAUCUGCUUUACUCAGUCUACCAAUUUAAAUGUUAUUUUAAUGAAAAAAAUAAAACAACCCAGGGUCAUGGACACGAUGUAUUUGUACAACUUAUGCUUCAGUCAUGUUGACAGAAACUAAUAACAGCGACUUUAUUUUGUUAUGGAAAUCAGAGAUAACCUCCAUGAUGAAAUGAUACUAGAACAAAGAGGUGAAUAAAAUUAAUGAGCCAUGUCAUUAAGGAAACAUAGUCCAGGCAGAGAAAAUAAGUAUAAAGUCUGUGGUUUGGGAGGAUUCUUGAAAUAUUAGAGGGGCAGAAGGAAGGUCAAUACUAUUGAAAAAUAUAUGAGGUGGUACAGGUUUUUUUUAAAUUUUUUAAAAAAUUUAUUUAUUUAUUUAUUAUAUGUAAGAACACUGUAGCUAUCUUCAGACACACCAGAAGAGGGCAUCAGAUCUCAAUAUAAAUGUUUGUGAGCUACCAUGUGGUAGCUGGGAUUUGAACUCAGGACCUCUGGAAGAGCAGUCAGUGCUCUUAACCACUGAGUCAUCUCUCCAACCCUGAGAUUUUUUUUAAAUUGUGGACAAACACCUAAAGGGACUUCUUGAGCAAGCCUGGCAACCCAAGUUCAAUUCCCAUAUCCCAUGUAAAGGGAGAGUGGGAGAACUGACUAUAAAGUUGUCCUCAGGGGUUGGGGAUUUGGCUCAGUGGUAGAGCGCUUACCUAGGAAGCGCAAGGUCCUGGGUUCGGUCCCCAGCCCCGGAAAAAAAAGAAGAAAAAAAAAUAAUAAAGUUGUCCUCAGACCUCCAUGUAUGAACUGUCAUAUGUGUGUCCACAAGCACAAAUGAUAAAAUGUAAAAAUAGGAAGGCCGUGAGACAGAAGACCAUCAGGGACUGAGGAUUGUGAUGUGAGAAAGCCACUAGAGAGUUUUUAGGCUGAGGACUGACAUGUUUUCAGAAACUGAUUACUGAUGGAAAACAAACUGAAGAUGUGAGUAAAUGGAUUGUGGGUUUCAUAGGAAGAAGAUGUUGGGAUUUUAUGCCAGAAUAAUGAAAAUUAGAAGUAUUCUGGCUAAUUUCUUACAGCCAAAAGGAGUUCUUAAUGAACAACACGAAUAAGAUCUAAACCAGGGUUUUCAGCUUAAACAACGAGAGUCAUAGAAAUACUGAGUAACUGUAGGAGAACCCAGCUUGGAAAGGGAGUUGGGAGCCACUGUGCUAUGUUAGACAUGAACAGAGACAUAGCUGCAUAUUCAGGUGAGCACCAGUUUUAACUGUGGUGAGAUGGAGCCUAGACAUUCUUCAUUUAGUGUUUAAACUGUAUGAACCAACUAAACAGUGAGCAUAGAUGAAGUAGGAAGACAUUUAAAAUUCAUUUAAAAUGUUAGCUCUUACAGAAAAAAAUGACUUAUCGAGUGUGUUAUAAUAGAUGGUUGAAAGAUCUUAGUGUGUCCUUCGAAGGAAAAUAAUCAAGCAAAGCAAGCUUCCUUCUUCCAUAUCUUUUAUAUAGAACACAGAAGAAGGUGUGCCCAGAUUAAAGCUGGAUCUUCUCACCUCAAAAGAUCUGGAUUAAAGAUGUAUCUUCUCACUUCAAAGAUAUGGGUUAGAAGUGGUUCUUCACACAAAUGAUUUAUUUAAGAAAAAAGAAUUCCUCACAGGAGUACCCAAACAAUGUGGUUAUAGUUAAUUCCAGAUGGAAUCAAAUUAAUAAUCAAAAAUAGCCAUCAAAGUUCACCCCUUGUCAACUUGAUUCACCAUCCUAUCUCCUUAUGCCACGCUUUAUGUCCAAAUGAAAACAGCAAUUAGGUUAUAAUUAUACCUAACAUGAUAUAACUAUCCCUUGUAUAACUGCAAACAAUAUACAUUUUAGAAUAGAUGAUAAUAUCCCUUGAGGGACAUUUUAAAUAUAUUAAACUUAAGUAUGAUAACCACUGAUACUCUUUUAAUUCAUGUCCACAGAACGAGACAUCCUAUUCAUUUUAUUGAACUCCUCCUUUGCUUGUCACCUUUUGAUCCUGUAUAUAGGACACAAAUAUCUUCACAUCAUGUUGCCUAUGCCGCCCAGUACAAUCACCUUGCCUUUGACAAUUCAGUGCUGCCACAUGGCCCCUGCAACCAUGGGGCCUAAACUCAUUGCAUUUAAUUGAUCCAACAAAGGAGCAGAGUCUCUAACCCUACGGUCUAACACAAGGAAAAGAGCACCAACAAAGCUCUUCACAUGUGCUGGUGCCCUUCUCACCAGUUUGUAUCUUAAAGGAUUCAUGAAGGGCAUGUCUUCUGGGCCUCUCCACUGUGGAUGAUUAAGCUUUACACACCAUACCCACUCUAAGAUUGCAAUUUCCCUGAGCCUUAAAAUCUCUUCAUCAACAUUAAACCAAGGGAUACCAGGCAUCUCAAACUCCUUUUCAGUAGGUCAUCUUUUGAUAAAUGCUUCAGCCAAUCAUUCAAACAAACUUAUGAUAAUGUUGGGAACAAGCAAAAGAAACUUAUUCUAAGUACUACCAUUUCGUUUUCAGAAAUUAAUUCAAGGUCCCUAGGGGAGCCAAACAGCUUCUGUUGUAAACAGUUGUCUGAGUCCAGCCAUCUCAAGGACAACUUCUCCAUCUUGCUGGCAGGGUCAAGCAAGUUGAUAUUCCCAGGCCUAUGAAUGCACACUUAUCCCACUUCUCCAAAUGUCUUUUUAAUUGUCUGUUAACCAGUAAAGAAUAUAGAAACUGUUGUUACCUAAACCAAGGUGCAUAAGCUAUAAAAAUAUACAACCAAUUGCCUGUUGUGCCCUAAUGAACUACAUGGGGCUGACCUGCUCCUUCGUCCCCUUAUCACUCUGAGCUCUGGUCCUAAGGUCAAGGAGAAUGAACUCAGGACCUUGAAGCCAGUUGCCCUAGAUACAAGGGCACUCCCUUGUUUAACCCAUAAUCUCAAAAUACAAUUGGAUACACUGCAGCUCUCCCCAGUCCCUCCCUUGCUUUGUAUUCCCCUUCUUUAACAAUGUGCAAUCUCCCUUAGGGAGCAGAGUUCAGAUCCCUAACUGGUCACUCCCUUAGUGCUCAGAAAAUAAAGCUUUCAUUUUUAAGCUUCCAUAUCUGAAGUGAGUUUUCUCAGCUUUCACCUCGAACCCAACAACGCUGUUUUUUAAAAAAUGCAUGUGAGUUGCCACAUUAGACCUAAAAUCUCCACUCAGGGCCCAUAUCGUACACUAAGCCUGAUUCAGUUUUAUGUUCCUUCCGCCAUUGUCCCACACACUUAAAAUCAAUUCUCACGCACAUUGCUUAGACUUCUGCUUGAAUGAAUUAGCAAACUCAUAAAGCGUUUUAAUAGUGUAGUGGAAAUCCUCAUGAACUACACUUUCCACCUCCCCUCUAGGUGCUUGCUGUGAGCCUUUCUUUAGUCUGCUUAUAGGUCUAGAGGCAACUGCUGACCAGUACUGUGGGGCAUCAGUAUUGUCUUGCCUGGCAUCAACUUCAGAGAAAGUCACUGCCGCUUUAGUGGACAAUAAAGGAUUAAUUUACUCAAUCAAAGUUGAAAAUGCAAUAUCUCAGGGGGUGUGGGUUGGGGUUCAUCUGCUAACCGUGGAGAGACUACUGCCUCAGGUGAGAUAAACUUCUGAAAUCUGAGGGUUCAACGUUCUCAGCUCUAAUAUGGUCCUCCCACUACAUAUCCCCAUCUCAAGGUACAAGAUCCCAUUCUCUAGCAAUCAAUGCCCUACUUUAACUGCCAACACCAUCCAAGGUUGGGAUUUGAAUUUUCACUGUAAUUCUUGUACUGAAGACUUCAGUUUGACUUCCCACAACUUGAACUCUGUGGCUGCUGGAGAGAAGAUUCUUUCCCAGCGCACACUCGGGAACCUUUAGACUGUUUGUGAGCAUCUGGAACAGGUCAGUUUCUAUCACUGAGUUCACUGUCACCAUAUCCGGAGAUGCUAGAAUGCUGGUUGGUUAAUUUUUUAUCACAGAACACACUCCUUUGUCAGUUUAUCCAGAGAUGCUAGGACCAACCAACCAGCAGUAUCAUCUUCCUUAUUUUUCCACAAAUUGUCUAAAGUUGUAUAUACAGAGUCACCAAAUCCAUUGCCUGUCACAAUUGGUGAAUCAGGAUAAGCAAAUGCCCUUGACCUGUUAGGUUUAUAGAGUUCACAUUCUGAGUUUUUAGUUCUCUCUGAGCUUCCAUAAGAGGUUUCAGUAACUGGAGAAGUUUCAGUAACUAUAGGUAUUAGCAACUUGGAAAGCAUAUUCCACAUUCUUAAAAAAAUCAUCCCUAUACUUCUGUUGCUCUAGAACAGUGAUUCUCAACUUGUGGUUUGUGGCUCCUUUGUUGGGCUGCAUAUCAGAUAUUUAAUAUUACAAUCCAUAAGAGUAGCAAAUUUACAGUUAUGAAGUAGUAACUAAAAUACUUUUUAUGGUUUGGGGUCACCACAACAUGAAGAACUGUAUUAAAGGGUUGCAUUAGGAAGGUUGAGAACCACUUUUCUAAAACCAUUUCUGGUACCAAAACCUGUAUUUGUUGGGGUUCUCUAGAGGAACAGAACCAAAAGAAUAAAUUUCUCUGUGUACAGAAGGGGAAUUUAUCAGCCUGGCUUAUAGGCUAUGGUCUAGUUCAUCCAAAAUGAACAGCAAGUCCAAGUUUAGUCCACAAGGUUGGAUGCCUUCAUUAUACUCUGGAGUUCCAAAGUAGGCUCUAAUGCCAGUAAAGGAAUGGACUAGCCAGCAAGAGUAAAAGCAACAAGACAAAAAAAGCAUGCUUUCUUCUCCAUGCUCUUAUAUAGGCUUCCAUCAGAUGGUGUGCAAAUGACUUUAUUAAGAAAAAAAAAAAUCCCGGGGACUGGAGACAUGGCUCAGCGGUUAAGAGCACUGACUGCUCUUCCAGAGGUCCUGAGUUCAAUUCCCAGUAACCACAUGGUGGCUCACAACCAUCUGAAAUGGGAUCUGACAUACAUAAAAUAAAUAAAUCAUAAAAAAAAGAAAAAAAUCCCUCAGGCUGGAGAGAUGGCUCAACAGUUAAGAGCACCAACUGCUCUUCUAGAGGUCCUGAGUUCAAUUCCCAGCAACCACAUGGUGGCUCACAGCCAUCUGUAAUGGGAUCUGAUGCCCUCUUCUGGUGUGUCUGAAGACAGCUACAGUGUACUUAUAUAUUAUAAAUAAUAAUAUUAAAUAAAUAAAUAAAUAAAUAAAUAAAUAAAUAAAUAAAUAAAGCAAAGGAAAAAUCCCUCACAGGUGUGUUCAGCCAUUUGGUGGUUUUUUUUUUUUUGUUUUUUUUUUUUUUGUUGUUGUUGUUUUAGUUAAUUCCAAAUGUAGUCAAGUUACAACCCAGAACAGCCAUCAUACAAUCUAAACAUGUUUAAGUUUAAUACUGAAAUGUUUUUUAUAGUCUAUAUAUUCAAUAAAUGCUUCCUUCAGGCCCCUCAGCAGUUGUAGUCAGAAGCCUCCAUGCAUUCGCAUAGGCCACUCCAUGAGUUUCAGCUGAAUCUCAUGACUCUGCUACAAAGAGACUUUGGGGAAACUGAUGGCAUGUCACUUCUAGGAUUAGGCUACAAAACUUUCAUUUGCUCUCUUUCUUGCAUGUUUACCUAGACAAACUGACUGAGCCUGGCCUUUGACCAGUAGCCAGAGGAAAAAUGAGACUUCAGUUUAUUACUCUUCCAAGCUUUAUUGAGUCCUUCUAUCAGUCACGUAGUGAUUCAGGAAGCAAAUUUUCCUCCAAUACAGCCUUUAGAAAGCAUCACAGUCCCCAUCACAUUUUGAGUGUCGGCUUCAAGGACACAGUGAUAUAGAGACAUAGUUAAUGUUCCACCUGGUUUGUAUACCUACAAAACCUAGGAGAAGAUAGUUAGCUCAUUAAGUCCUUAAAUCUGACCACAGUUGUUACCCAGCAAUAUGUUACAAAUUUAACAGGUAAAUUAAAGUAUUGGAUUUAGUUCUGUCGUAUUAGGAAACCUCCUUUCUAGUUUGAAUGAAAUUAUGCAACAACAUACAAAAAUAAUUAGUAGACAAUGUACAUUGCUUCAUUAGCCAUCAAAAAUUCAACUUAAGAUAACACUGUGCACCUUUUAAAAUAUAAAACAAAAGUUUAGGUUUAUAUUUGCUGAGUGUUCCUUUCUUUGAAAAAAUGUUAUUGAUCCUUUGGGAAUUUCAUGCCAUGCAUUUUUAUCAUACAACGCCUUCCAAAUCUACCCCCACCACUGUACCCCCUCCACUUUUCGUAGUCCCUUGACUCCAGUCUGUCCUCUCUAUAUACUUCCUGGGCAUAUGGUCAUCCACUGGAGCAUGGUCAACUUAUCAGGGACCCCAACCUUAUAGGAAACUGACUCUUUCCCAGAAACUACCAACUGUCAAUAGCUCCUCAGCUAUGUGUGGAGGCUUGUGACCCCUCCCCCUUCUAUAUUAGAAUAUUAAUUGGUAUGAUCCUAAUACAGACAAGCAGAGCUCCUGUGAGUUCCUGAGUGCCACAGUCUGUCAUGGCCAGAAGACACUGUUUAGCUUCUGUCUUCCUUCACACCUGGCUCUUAGGAUCGUUUUGGUCUCCAUUUCUCUGAUGGUCGUUGAGCCUGGGGGCGGGGGUUAUAUGAGUGUUCCAUUUGUGGCGAAGCACUCCACUGACACCUAUUCGGUGUACUCUGACCAGUUGUGAGUUUCUGUUACCCACCAUCCCUUCAACCUUGUCCUUUUUGAUAAGUCCAAUGGCAGAAAUGUGACACAAUGUUUCCAACACUUGGAUGUGAUUCCUUUUAUUUAGAAAAAAUAAUCUAAUGGAAAUGGUCAAAGUAUAUUGAAGGGAUUUCUUUCUUAAAGAAAAAACAAUUCUCUGUUGCAAAUUAUAGUGAGCAGUGAUAACAUUUCAGAUACCUAAUGUUUGUCUAAAGAAGUAAUGCAAUAGAGUGUCACAUUGUCUAGAAUUGGACUGCCUCCAAAGAUCCAGUUUUGUUCAUGCUUUGCUUGCUCUCACUCUCCCCUCCCUCCCUGCAGGUGUGUGUGUGUGUGUGUGUGUGUGUGUGUGUGUGUGUGUACGUGGGCACGCGCUUGGUAUAUUUGUAAUGAAUAUCUGUGUGCAGGUGAGCUUAUGAGCAUGUGUAGACAUAAUUCAACUUCAAGCAUCAUCCUCUAUCACGCCAUCUUAUUAUGGAUUUGCCUGUCUCUUCCCAGGUCAGACAUAUAGACACAGCACACUUGGCUUUCACAUUAGUGCUGGAUUUCUGAAUUCAAACCCUCAUGUCUCACAACAUCACUUAACGCACUGAGCCCUCUCCAAAGUUGCCUGUACCUUGUUCUUAAAAUAUCACCUUAUGGUUCAAGAUGAUCAUUCAAACUGCAGCUAACACACCCAUCGUACAUGCAACAGAAUGUUUUCUAUAUUCAGGAAACCUCUCUGUGUCUUUAUCUGUCUUUGUCUGAGUUUCUCUGUCUCUCCCUUCUCCCUCCCGUGCCACACACACACACAAUUCCCACCACAUUGGCCAGAAUUAAGAAGUGCCAACUUCUCAUUAGGUAAAUUACAUCCCCAAAUGAAAUAACGUGUUUUUCAUUGAAGAAAUUAGAGCGUGGAUGUUGGAAUAAUAAUUUUAAAAACAGUCGAUUUUGUUGUAAGUGUAUAUAUUUGAAACGAUUAUGCAUAGAGCAGCAUUAAAAGAGGCCUUAACAUUUCCCAUGAUCCAACUGUGUAAUUUCUGGUCAGUGAUUCCAGGUUUUAAAUAAUUUGUAAGUGUUCAGUUUCUACACUUUAUCAUCCGCUAAGAAUUUAAAGAAAAAUCACAUUCUCUGUUCAUCUGUUAAUGCUGGGAUCCAUAUUUAGUUUUAUAAGCUUUUCCCUGUUUUUAGUUUUGUUUGGGUUUUUGGCUCAUGGAUUUUAUUUUCUGUUUGUCGAAAAAUGUAAGAGUGUAAUGUUAAUAAAUUUCAGUUUAGUUCUGUAAUGUCAAGAAUUUAAGAAUUAAAAAAAUGGACUGGUUAAAAAAAAGAGGCCUUAACAAUCUUAAAUAUGUAGAAAGAAUAUGUUCAUUUGGGGGUCUCCCUGUUUCUGCCUCUAUAACAGUAAAUAGGGAGAUAGGAGAAAGGAUAUUUUGUUUCAAGUUUUACUGGGAAGAUAGUUUCUCUUGAAUAAUUCAAAUGUACACCUGAGUGAAACGACUAAUUACUAAGGCUUUCAAUAUUUCUCAUCCUGAGGUGUUGAAACACACUGAAAAGGAUGAGCAAGUAAUUUGAGGAGAUAUAAAAGCAUGCUGUUUAUUUGCUGUAAAAUUACUUACGGAUACUGAGAAGAAAAUGCACAUUUAGGGCACAGUGGAGUAGCUAUGCCAUUACAUAUCUGAUUAUCUUGCCCUUGAGUAGAUUUGGUUUUGGGACAUGGGAGGAGAGCUAGAUGUAUGGAGGAUACUGAUGCUGCUUACCUCAGUGAACAGGGGCCUGUAGCAGGCAUGGUAGCUCUUCUUGCAGGACCACAUAUCACCACAUGGCUUCCACUUAAAUGGCUUGCUCCUAAGGACUGAAGAGUAAAAAGUAAUCCUUUUAUGUCCAGAGAAUCAUGACUUUCAGAUACUGUGAGCCAGCUUAUGAGGUUGAAAGGUUCUGUUCUUGGCAUAUGCCCAGCACUCGCUGUGCUCCUGACUGUGCUGCUCGCAGUAUUACUAGAGCUUCUUCACUGUAUAUCCUUGAGGAACUGGUUGGACAGAUACCAGAGGAAGGGACUUUUUGUGACUAUUGAUUUCACGUUACAGAAUGGGCUCAAUUGCGUUUUGUUUUUAGAAAGAGUUGAAAAACCUGCCUUCAUAGGUAUUUUUCUAUUGCUGUGACAAAGAUCAUAAACAAAAAUAACUUGAAAGGGAAAGGGUAGGGUUGGGAGGGGAACACCCAUAAGGAAGGGGAGGGGGAGGGGGAUGUUUGCCCGGAUACCGGGAAAGGGAAUAACACUCGAAAUGUAUAUAAGAAAUACUCAAGUUAAUAAAAAAAAUAAAAAAAAAAGAAA